rnacentral:rRNA from 1 species
UACAGAGGUCUCGAGCGUUAGGCGGAAUCACUGGGCUUAAAGCGUGUGUAGGCGGAUCGGUAAGUACCUUGUGAAACCCCACAGCUUAACUGUGGAACUGUUGUUGAUACUGCCAGUCUUGAGCCAGCUAGGGGCUACCGGAACAAAUGGUGGAGCGGUGAAAUGCGUAGAUAUCAUUUGGAACGCCAAUGGUGAAAACAGGUAGCUGGGGCUGUGCUGACGCUGAGACACGAAAGCCAGGGGAGCAAACGGG